ensembl:misc_RNA 7SK 7SK RNA
GGAUGUGACGGAGAUCUGGUUACCACAUCUGUCACCCCACUGAUCGCCAGGGUUGAUGUGGCUGAUCUGGCUGGCUAGGCACGUGUCCCCUUCUUCCCUCAACACUUGUGUGUCCCUCCUACUCGGUCAAAGAGGACAACCUUCCCCAAAUAGAGACGGAUUGGUCUUUGGUCAAGGGUAUCCAAGUAGCUGCACUCCCCUGCUAGAACCUCCAAACAAGCUCUCAUAAAUACAUUUAAAGUGAAAAUUAAAAGCUAUAUAUCUAAUAAAUGACUGCUUGCUUCAAUU